AGGAUGUUGGCUUAGAAGCAGCCAUCAUUUAAAGAAAGCGUAAUAGCUCACUGGUCGAGUCGGCCUGCGCGGAAGAUGUAACGGGGCUAAACCAUGCACCGAAGCUGCGGCAGCGACGCUUAUGCGUUGUUGGGUAGGGGAGCGUUCUGUAAGCCUGUGAAGGUGUACUGUGAGGUAUGCUGGAGGUAUCAGAAGUGCGAAUGCUGACAUAAGUAACGAUAAAGCGGGUGAAAAGCCCGCUCGCCGGAAGACCAAGGGUUCCUGUCCAACGUUAAUCGGGGCAGGGUGAGUCGACCCCUAAGGCGAGGCCGAAAGGCGUAGUCGAUGGGAAACAGGUUAAUAUUCCUGUACUUGGUGUUACUGCGAAGGGGGGACGGAGAAGGCUAUGUUGGCCGGGCGACGGUUGUCCCGGUUUAAGCGUGUAGGCUGGUUUUCCAGGCAAAUCCGGAAAAUCAAGGCUGAGGCGUGAUGACGAGGCACUACGGUGCUGAAGCAACAAAUGCCCUGCUUCCAGGAAAAGCCUCUAAGCAUCAGGUAACAUCAAAUCGUACCCCAAACCGACACAGGUGGUCAGGUAGAGAAUACCAAGGCGCUUGAGAGAACUCGGGUGAAGGAACUAGGCAAAAUGGUGCCGUAACUUCGGGAGAAGGCACGCUGAUAUGUAGGUGAAGUCCCUCGCGGAUGGAGCUGAAAUCAGUCGAAGAUACCAGCUGGCUGCAACUGUUUAUUAAAAACACAGCACUGUGCAAACACGAAAGUGGACGUAUACGGUGUGACGCCUGCCCGGUGCCGGAAGGUUAAUUGAUGGGGUCAGCGCAAGCGAAGCUCUUGAUCGAAGCCCCGGUAAACGGCGGCCGUAACUAUAACGGUCCUAAGGUAGCGAAAUUCCUUGUCGGGUAAGUUCCGACCUGCACGAAUGGCGUAAUGAUGGCCAGGCUGUCUCCACCCGAGACUCAGUGAAAUUGAACUCGCUGUGAAGAUGCAGUGUACCCGCGGCAAGACGGAAAGACCCCGUGAACCUUUACUAUAGCUUGACACUGAACAUUGAGCCUUGAUGUGUAGGAUAGGUGGGAGGCUUUGAAGUGUGGACGCCAGUCUGCAUGGAGCCGACCUUGAAAUACCACCCUUUAAUGUUUGAUGUUCUAACGUUGACCCGUGAUCCGGGUUGCGGACAGUGUCUGGUGGGUAGUUUGACUGGGGCGGUCUCCUCCUAAAGAGUAACGGAGGAGCACGAAGGUUGGCUAAUCCUGGUCGGACAUCAGGAGGU
rnacentral:rRNA from 1 species